GAUGAAGAACGUAGUGAAAUGCGAUACGUAAUGUGAAUUGCAGAAUUCAGUGAAUCAUCGAAUCUUUGAACGCAUAUUGCGCUCUCUGGUAUUCCGGAGAGCAUGCUUGUUUGAGUAUCAGUAAACACCUCAACUCCCUUUUCUUUUUUGAAAUUGGAGCGGGACUUGAGUGAUCCCAACGCUUUCUUCCAAGAAAGUGGCGGGUUGCUUGAAAUGCAGGUGCAGCUGAACUUUUCUCUGAGCUAUAAGCAUAUCUAUUUAGUCUGCCUAAAAAACAGAUUAUUACCUUUGCUGCAGCUAACAUAAAGGAGACUAGUUCUUGUGCUGACUGAUGCAGGAUUCACAGAGACAGCUUCGGCUGACUUUGUAAACUCGAUCUCAAAUCAAGUAAGACUACCCGCUGAACUUAAGCAUAUCAAUAAGCGGAGGA
rnacentral:misc_RNA from 1 species